CAGCAGCCGCGGGAAAACGUAGGGUGCGAGCGUUAAUCGGAAUUACUGGGCGUAAAGCGUGCGCAGGCGGAUUUGUAAGACAGGCGUGAAAUCCCCGGGCUCAACCUGGGAAUGGCGCUUGUGACUGCAAAGCUAGAGUGCGGCAGAGGGGGAUGGAAUUCCGCGUGUAGCAGUGAAAUGCGUAGAUAUGCGGAGGAACACCGAUGGCGAAGGCAAUCCCCUGGGCCUGCACUGACGCUCAUGCACGAAAGCGUGGGGAGCGAACAGGAUUAGAUACCCCUGUAGUCCCUGUCUCUUAUAC
rnacentral:rRNA from 1 species